GUGUAGCGUGAUUAUCACACGGUCGUGACCAGGUCCACGGUUUAUAUAUGUUUUUCAAAACCUGCCCAAAUGCUUAUUCUUUGUUCAAUAUUUGCAAAAUUUUGCAUAUCAAAUUCUCAAAGAUAGCUUUUGUAAAUUACAUAAUUUGAUUUUGAUUUUAUAUUCCUGAAAUUUAAAUAUAUUGAUUUGAAUAUGCCCAAUUUGACGUAUUUUACCGGCUUUUAUGGUGCUUCAGAAAAAACUUGCAGAACACAGUAACUUAUCUUUUUCACGAAUCAGAUUGUCUUAAAACUUGCUAGAGGUGUUAAAUAUUGUGCAUGGGACUGUUGUUUGUGAAUAGCUACUCAAAAUAAUAAGAUUUACACGCUCUGAAAAUCACCUUUUUGUCUAAAAAUUUACGAAAAACAUGGCCGCGGUGCGCAAAUAAUGAGUUGGUUAUUUCAAAAAUGUCCUAUUAUUCUUCAGUAAAACUUCUUGUUAAUUUAAGACUCUAAUAACUUGCUUGACAUACCCAUAGGCAAAUAUCUGUUAUCGGUGUAAUUACACCUUUGGAGAAAAGCGUGAUUCGCACGUUUUAAUUUCAUCAUUCGCCGCCUGAAGAGACAAGAUGGUGGAGCUUGCGAAAUCGAAAAUUGGUACUUGAAAGUCAAUGGUUGAUCAUGAUGACCAUCUUUAAUUUAAUGGGGAAAGAUUAACCAAUAUUUGCAGCUGGAGAGGCUAUCACCACAGUUCAAUGACUUAGUUAAGACAAUGAAAUAGAAGAACUUCAUGCUAACACUUGCAUCAGUGGAAGUACUUCUUAUUGGAUAGAGAACUUUACAAGGUCAGCCAUCAGCUUUUGAAGUUGCUUUCUUGGCACAUCAUGCUGUCCAGUGGAGUUCAUACCAUAUGCCAGGCCUUUAUACAUGGUCAAAGAAGAUGAAUUUGUUAUUCAAUUUGUGAAAUUUGAUUUAAGGAGGACUUUCAUAUAUGAUGAUUAUAUUCAGCAGAUUAUCUUCAAGUGUGCACUUCAUAGAAUCACAGUUUCUAGGAGGUUUUCAGUUUAAAGUCAGAUUAAUUGAAAAAUAAGUAAACCUAUCAUACUCACCAUGGCAUCGGCAUUGGCAUUACACCAGUUUUAAGUUUUUCUUACCAGUCCAUAUUUUAAAAGGACCUUUUGAAAGUAUUGAAACUUACAACAGUAAUUUAUCAUCAUUAUACCAUGUUUUAGGCAAAAGUACAUAACUCCAUCAAGGAUUUGACUGAACUAUGGCCCUUUGAAACUUUUGUCACUUGUUUAUAAUAAUAGUCUCUAUAGGCAAGAGUUAAUAACACUAUAGGGUAAUUUGGUUGAAUUAUGUCCCUUUUGGACUUUGAAAUUGGUUCAGUUUUUGUACAAGUCCACAUUUUGACAUAUAGCUUUGAAUCUUUCAACACCAAGUCUUACCAUUACAAUAAUAUAACUUAAAAUAGUUGUUCAACAUCAUCACCCACAUCAUAUGACACAAGAUGCAUAACUCUUGCACCAAAAUUUAAUAAAUUAUGCCCUUUUUUGCUUAAAAUAUACUUGUAUAGUGUUUUGAUACACUUUAUCUUUAUCUCUCAUAUUACAUAAUAUUUUAAAACAGACUUAGUUAUUAUGCAAUAUCUUCAUCAGCCAUUGGAGCCAUUAGUUGGUGUUUAGAUCCUAUAAUUGUAAAACAUUAAAUAAAUGUUGAAAGUUUCAUAAAA